CAAAAACAUAGCUAUAUGAAUUACAUAUGGUAUUUUCUGCUCAAUGAGACAUUAAAUAGCCGCAGUACCCUGACUGUGCAAAGGUAGCGUAAUCAUUUGGCUUCUAAUUAAAGUCGUGUAUGAAUGAAUACAUGGGGACCUUCUUUACCAUAUAUGCACUAUGAAGUUGUUUAGUAAGUGAAAAUGCUUACAGUUAAAUAAAAGACGAGAAGACCCUUGAAAUUUUUCUGAAUGUUUUGUUGGGGCAACAAUGUAGCAAUAAUAAUCUACUAAUUGUACAUGAAAUGGUGUUUGAUUGAUUAAAUUACUCAAGGGAUAACAGCAUAAUUUGUAAAAGUUUGUGACCUCGAUGUUGGAUUAGGAAUCUAUAGCCCAGAAGGCCAUUAGUUAUGCUCUGUUCGAGCA
rnacentral:rRNA from 1 species